rnacentral:rRNA from 1 species
AUGCUGGUGGGCGCGAAGGACGCGCUGGGCGACAAGGUGAUCAUCGACCGCCUUGACAGCCGCACCUUCGAGCGCGCGGACACGAAGCUCUUCGCCGUUUGGGUGUGGGUGUGGCAACUCCACCGCAUCCCCACCAACCGGACGUUGUGGAAGCACGAGCGGGGCGCUGGCAGGGUGGAGGAGAUGCUCGGCUUCUCGUCGCCGAGCAGGGCGGUCGCGCUACCUCCCAACCUGCUCCGCUAGGACGUCCUCGUGCACAUCGAUCGCGUUGAAGACUGGACGCUGCUGUCCCCCCGCUCCUCGCACUCCGGUCAGAGCAGCCUCCCCUCCUCCUCCGACGACGACCGCCCGUACCCGCACUACCCACACGCGGGUGGCUGGGUGUCACGCGUGGAAGACGGCAGGCCAUCACAGGACCAGGGGCCGCGCCUGCGCCCUCCUGCUCAGGUGGCGUCCUCGGGGCUGCAAGGGCAUGCCCUCGGCGGGCCACAGUCGCGGCCAUGA